rnacentral:snoRNA from 9 species
AAUGAAGGAGAUGAUAUUUUCUUAUGCGAGUAUGAGUAUGACAUCAUCUGGCAUUCUUUCAAGCGUCUAGCUGAGAUU